rnacentral:snoRNA from 1 species
AUAUGAUGAUCGCACUGGGCUCUGAGCAGUUAUAUAAAACUGUUGAUGGACAAUGCCGCCUAGAAAGCUUUGGCUGAUC